AAAAGAUAAAUUGUGGAGAGGAGGAUCUGAAGUAGCAGCCUACAAUGAAAUAGAUUUUCUUUUUAAGUAGUGAGAGGACCCUGAAUUCAUCAUUUAUUAGUAUGAUGCAAUUUCUUCAGUAGUUGCAUUAGUUUUAAUCUUUGAAUGAUGCUUGUUGUGUGGAGGGACUGACUAGCAGAAAGCUGUGAAAAGGUUAUCCAAUGUUAAUACAGGUGGCACCAAGCCUUCCCCAGAAGCCUCCAAUUGUGCUGAGAUGUCAAGGCCCUUCAACAGUCACAGGAAAGGAAAGACAGCCUUUUGCUCUCUUGGAGAACAGAACUUUAAGUUUAUUCUUUGAAUGGCACAAGAAGGAAGGAGGUGGAGGAAUGAGAAAAGAAGAAGGAGAAAGAAGAAGGUGGAGAAAGGAUGAGGGAGGAGGAAGAUGGUGAAAGAAGAAGAAGAAAGAAGAAGAAAGAAGAUGAUGAUGAUGUAAAGGGAACUUCUGUAUUAGGUCAAAGAUUCAUCUAAGCAAGGCUCCCGUCUCCAAUGUCUGAAAGCAGGUGAGAUGAGUGCAAUGCAAGGGCACCACUGAUGUUAGCAUCCACAUCUGAGCAAUCUGAAUCUUUGGGACUUACUAAACUAAUGUGGUGAUGAUGAAAAAUUUCAAACUUCUGACUGAGAAAUAGUUAGUCUUCACCACUAAGAACUCUGGAGUUUUGCAAGGGCUUGAAACUCAGAUGAAGGGAAAAUGGUGAACAUAUAAAACAUAUGAAAAAAUAACAUAUACUUAUAUAAAGAGAAUAAAAUUAGUAUUUUAGGGCUG
rnacentral:lncRNA from 1 species